rnacentral:lncRNA from 1 species
CUUGUUUUUAAGUUUACCUUAAACACGUGAAAGGCCUCAAACUGAAUGUUACGGCUCUUGUCUCGUAGAAGGUUCAUCAUUAGUUUGAGAUUUUCAGGUUUACUGAUGUAUUUUGUCAUAAUUGUGAAGUUGUGUCUGUCCAAUAAUAAUUCACCAAGAAGCUUAAGUGACUGUCUCUUUGUCACAUAGUUUUCUGAAUGAAGUAACUUCUCAUAUUCACUGAAGAACCUAUCAUAAUGCUGUUCCAAAAAUUCUGCACUUAGCAACUUGUGUCUUGUAAGUAAAUCCUUGAACGUGGCAAAUGCAUCUGAAGCAAUGUCAAACGUCGACAUCUCCACAUAUCUGAAGAAAUC